GCACCCGUGGUGAAGAGGAUAUCAUAUCUCGCUUCGGACGAGGCGUCCCAGGUUCGAGUCCUGGCGGGUGCACUA
rnacentral:tRNA from 1 species